CGGGAUGUAGCGCAGCUUGGUAGCGCACCAGGCUGGGGGUCUGGGUGUCGCAGGUUCAAAUCCUGUCAUCCCGACCA
rnacentral:tRNA from 3 species